rnacentral:lncRNA from 11 species
CCCCAUUCAAAAACCCAUGCUGGAAAAAAACAUAGAUUUCUAUCACUCUUAUCAGUGCAUCUUAAGGAGAGGUUUGAUAUCAAUAAAAUUCAUGCUGAAAUGUAAAUCAGUCUAGGCACUGAUAGAUGCUUCCCUCUUUCCCUUUCAAACAAGUAAACAAUGAAGUAAAUUCUAUCACCACUGUGUCCCAUAUUGCCAUUCAUAUUUUUCCCACAGCUUCACCAGGAUAUACCUGAAAGUGAACUUGCUAUCAUCCACAAAGCUGCUCCCAAAUGUGCAGUCCAAAAGGUGCCACUUUCCAUCAAUGUAAACAGCAUUCCAGCACAGGGAGAAGAAAUGAACCAUUUCCAUGUCACAGCUGCAGCUUCUUGCUGGCCAUGGAGUGAUCUGCAUGUUCCCAACCAUCACAGUCACGUCUGCCGAGCACCUCCUGCCUCCAAAGGAAGCUCCAGAGCACUCCAACCUUUGCAUGGAAGCCUCCUGGGGCAGGAAAGGCUGGCUGUGACAGGAGCAGCAACGGAAGUAGGAUACGGUACUGCAUUUUUAGGAUGGAGCCCCGCCGGAAGUAGCUCUACGUCGUUUGAUGAGAUCCAGUGGGCUUGGUCUCUGAACUGUGGUGAAAGUGUCGUACAACAGCUACCUUGAUGGAAAUGCCCUUCUUUUUUGUGGAACACGAUCCUUAUUUUGGUUGUAAAAAGCAUGGAACCUCCAACAUGGUCAAAACUGGCACCUACCAAUAUGAUGGCAAAUCCACAUCCAAAUGGCUCUGACUUUCUUCAGAUCGGUGGGGGCUUUUUGGACCAAGACUUUCACCAGAUUUUCCACACUGUCUCUGACAUUUACCUCCUUAAUAAAUAAAAGGUGAACAUAAUCCACAACAGUUAAUACAGAAGAAGUCUAUCAAAGUGCCACCAUUACUCAGUUUUGCUUAUUUUGGCUUUUAGAGAGAGUUCAAAUUCUUUUUCCUAUAUAUAUAUAUAAAUUUGGCUCAGAAUUUUCACCAAGCAUCACAUUUCAAACGAGUUAAUCGUCCCCCCAGUAGCUUUCUUCAUUGUCCAACUUUCAGAUCCAUAUACAGAAAUUCAAAAUCGAUGGCAGGGAUACUAAAUUGGAUACUCAGUGAAAUAUGUGACAUUAUUGUCAUCAAAAUCAUUUUUUACCCAGAGUAAAACAUUGUUACACUAUAAUCUCAUAAAGAUUUUAGUGAAUUAUAAUUACCAGGCUUUUUUUUGGGGGGGGGGGGGGAUAACAAAGUCUGUAUUCUUAACAGGACCUAAUAGAAAGAAAUGGAAAUGAGUUUGGUAUUGAUAGUAGUCAACUCAGUCUCAUGUGAUCUGAUCUUUAGUUUUUCUCAUGAAUGUCAAAAGCUAAAGAGGAGAUGAAAUGUUAUCCUAGAAUAAUUAUAUAUAUUAAAUAUAUUACAGGUGUAUUGCAAAGCAGGCAAAGUUUUGCCUACAAACCACUUUUGUAUCUAAAAAUAUUUGCCAUUUCUAGAAGACAUUAUCUAAUUCUCAAUCUAUAUUAUCUAUUUGUUUAUUUCACAUAUAUUCUGCUGUUCUCGCAAAAAAGGAUAUAAGGAGGCAUUAGAAAGAUCUACAACAGCUGGUUAUAUAUCAUACUAUACCAUACUCACUUUUGAAGCAUAAGUGUCCAGUUCCUUGAAUUGAUUCAAGUUUAUUGGUAUUGAUUUCUUAUUAGGUUUAUAACAUGGAUAAACUAGAAACAAACAUAGAAGAAAUUAAGGAAGUAUAGUAGAGGAAUAACAUAAUGUCAAAAAAGGGGUUUGUUCUACUUUCCCCUGCAAAUUUAAAAAUAAGCAAGAGAACAUGGGAGAACUUCUCUUACAUAGUUGCCAAGGUUGUUCUGCUAGAAAGAAUCCAAUGGUUGGACCUUUUAUCUGGACAAAUAAAAUUACCUUUCUUCCUGCUGUCUGUUAUCACAUCAUAUAAAAAAAGGCUGGGGUAUGACCUGAUUUGAUAUAUAGGCUAUUUCAUGUGAACAAUGGUAGGCACCCAAUUAUUAUUUUUUCCAUUCAAAUAGAGUGGUAUCCUAUAUAUUUUGAAAGAUUUUUGCAAACUCAAUUUUUUUAAAUAAUCCUUUUCUGUAACCACCCUUGAGUCCCUUUGUCAUGUGAAAGGCUGUGAGUCUUCUCAAUUACUUUAUCAUUCAUAUCUAAAACGGCUAUUUUCAGAGUUGGGAAAGUGAAAGGCACAAGGAACUACUACAGUAGAGUCUCACUUAUCCAAGCCUCUGGAUAAGCCAAGCCAUUUUUGUAGUCAAUGUUUUCAAUAUAGCGUGAUAUUUUGGUGCUAAAUUCGUAAAUACAAUAAUUACAACAUAACAUUACUGCAUAUUGAACUACUUUUUCUGUCAAAUUUGUUCUAUAACAUGAUGUUUUGGUGCUUAAUUUGUAAAAUCAUAACCUAAUUUGAUGUUUAAUAGACUUUUCCUUAAUCCCUCCUUAUUAUCCAAGAUAUUCGCUUAUCCAAGCUUCUGCCGGCCCGUUUAGCUUGGAUAAGUGAGACUCUACUGUAUAUACUGGAGGUCUUUUUAGAUUAUUUUCCUUAAUAUUUCCUUACUACACCCUCUCCAUUUUGCACCCAAAGCUAUAGUGCAUCUGUGAAUCAGUGAAAUGGCACUCAUGUAAUACAGUACUAUAACCUAGAAACAAAAUAAAUAAAAAGCAAGGAAGGAAGGAAGGAAAGAAGGAAGGAGAAAAAAGCACACCCUUCAAACCUUUGGAUUACCUCAACUGUGUUGUUGUGUGUCUUCAUGUUGCUUCACAGAACUUAAAAGGUUCCCCUUAUUGAAACACACAGAAAUUGAACCAAAAGUUGAUUAAUCAGAAUAAAAAGAUCAAGCUCUUACCAAUCUCACCAGGACAGCAUCGUUCCCCCUGAUAAUUUUGGUCCAGUUUUUCCAACAUCUUGGAAAGCUAGGGAAGUAUCGUUGUUGGUAUUGAGACAAAAAAGAAAAGAAAACAUGAGUUUUGAAAUAACAAGGAAAUCCUCUUAGGGUGCAUCUACACUGUAGAAUGAAUGCAGUUCGACAGUACUUUGUCACUGCUCAAUGCUAUGAAUGUAUGAGAGUUGUAGUUUGGUCAGGUACCAACACUUUUGAUAGAGAAGGCUACAGACCAUGUCAAAUGUCAAGUCCCAUGGUUCCAUGGCAUCAGUUAAAGUGAUGUCAAACUGCAUUCAUUUUAUAAGUGUAAAUCAGGUAUAGGCAAACUUUGACCCUUGUGGUGUUGUGGACCUCAAGACCCACAGCCUACUCCCAAAGUAGGCUGUUAGGAAUUGUGGGGGUUGAAGUCCACAACACUGGGUGGGCCAAAGUUUGCCCAUGCCUGGUCUAGAUGCACCCUUCAGUAAGUGUGACUCAUGAACCACAGACUAGCAGCCCAAGAACCACCUCCAAAGCAUCUUGUCUCCCCCAUUUAAAAAAAAUCUGCCCAAAAUAUAUUACCUAAACACCAUGAGAAUGUAGUAGAGUUUCACUUUUCUGCACCCUACAUGAAAAACAAUAAUUUUUCAGCUGAGAACAGAUGUUCUGGCUCAUGGGAUUCCCCCGCCCCUGUGUGCAAUUGCUCAUCUGUGCAAUAAAGCAGAGAUAAGGUAUAGAUUAUCCUUGUUUGGCUGCUUUCAGAUUCAAAACUCUAUUACAGGUGCAAAACCCAUUUACUUAAAGGACCCCUUCUGUCCAUAUAAUCCUUCCAGAUCGUUAAGAUCAGCGACAGCAGUGGUUCUCAACCUGUGGGUCCCCAGAUGUUUUGGCCUUCAACUCCCAGAAAUCCUAACAGCUGGUAAACUGGCUGGGAGUUCUGGGAAUUGUAAGCCAAAACACCUGGGGACCCACAGGUUGAAAACCACUGAGCCCUGCUAAUAUAUGCCUCCCAGGAAGGGAAGUUUUGUGAGCAGAAAUACCAAAGGGAUAGUCUUUCCUGUUCUGGACCCACAUUUGUGAAAAUCCUCCUGAUUUCUCUUCUUGUCCCUCCUUCUCACCUUUAGACAGGUCUUACAAAUAUUUGUUUUUUAAAUUUCAGACUGUUUUUAAAAGAAAGGGUAGAAUAUUUUACUAAAAAUGUAUGGGGAGAAAUGGCCCUCGAUGUUGGAAGGGUUCAACCCUUAGUAAAACCAAUUUCAAGGGGAAAAAAUCCCUAUGCAUCUUUAGGCCCUUAAAGAAUCCACCAGAUAUGAUUCUAUUGGUAGUUUAACACUUACAUUCACAGAGAUCAAAACAUGGAUACACUCAAUACACACAAGGAACUAGAAUAAAAUAAAAGCCAGAUCUGUCUGACUGCAUUGGUCCUUCAAAAAUGCUACAAGAGUAAAGUUAUAUAAAUGCACAUGGAUAGAUACCUUUUGUGAAUUUGUUUGUGUUUCAUAGAUCAAUGUGUCAAAAAGGUAUUUGAACAUUGUUAUAAUCUGGAACACAAGGAAAACAAAACAUAAGUAAAAAUACACAAAUAUAUAAAUUUAUUUAUUUAUUUAUUUAUUUCCAAUAUUUCUAUCCCGCCCUUCUCACCCGAAGGGACUCAGG